AUUGGGACUCAAUCAGGGCGAGACAGAAUAAAGCUGAAGGUCAAUCAGAAAGCGGGAGAUCUUUUACAAGGCGACCCGAGGGGUCUAUAACCUUACUGGGCCAGUGAGAGCUGCUCCGCUGAAGGCGCUCGUCUGAUCAUGGCUGCGGCCUACAGGCCUCGGGCUAUGCCAAGUGCGUUGCCUCCAAGACAACAGGUCAUGGGGACCUGAAAAAGGAUGAGUGCGCCAAGGAAUUUGAGAUGUUGAUGGACUGCUUCUCAAAGGCUG